rnacentral:rRNA from 1 species
GACGAACACUAGCUGCGUGCUUAACACAUGCAAGUCGAACGCAGUGGCGAACGGGUGAGUAAUACGUGGGUAACCUGCCCUCCUUUUUGGGAUAAGCCUUGGAAACGGGGUCUAAUACCGAAUAAAGGGGGAUGGGCUCGCGGCCUAUCAGCUUGUUGGGUGGGUGAUGGCCUGCCAAGGCGGUGACGGGUAGCCGGCCUGAGCGGGUGACCGUCCACAUUGGGACUGUGAUACGGCCCAGACUCUUACGGGAGGCAGCAGUGGGGGAUAUUGCACAAUGGGCGAAAGCCUUAUUUAUUGUCGUCGGGAGGGGGAGGAAGGCCUGGGUGUUGCAAACUUCGUUAGGUAGCGAACCGGCUGGGGGUGACGAAGCGCCGGCAUAAUACGCGCCAGCAGCCGCGGUAAUUC